UCCUUUUUCCCAUCCCUAGUGUUUUGCCUGCCUGGAGGAUGGCCUGAUGAUGCUAAUUUCAGACCCUGGUCUUGACAACAACACUGAGCAGAGCAUCCUCCCAGCUGGAGGCUCCACCCAGUAGCUCGGCAGCACCACAUGUCUUCACCGCAGUCACCGUCUCCAUGGCUCCCAUGGCCAUCAGGGCAUCUAUCACUGCCAGGGCCCUGCUUACCGCAGAGCAGAGACCACCUCUAACUGCUGCAGCGCGACCAUCAUUUACCAGCAGCGUCCUCUAGAGGUCACCAGAAGGCCGCUGUGAGUCAGCAGAAACACUGACGAGAGUCUUCAGCGAGCAAACACACACAUCAGUAGAUAUGGGUGAACUUUGGACCCGUGUUUGUUCAAUCAUUAAGUCAUUGAAUAAGCAAUGGACCAGUAAUAUGAUAACAUGUAUGUCCCAGGACUGUCGUUCCUCAGCUGCUGUACCUUUAUUUACUUUCUCCUCAGCGUGCUUCCCUUCCCUUUUGCGCAGUGAAAUAUUCCUGUAUGACUCAUGUGCAACACUUACAGGAUAAAAUGACGUGUUGUAACGAGAUCACCAGGAAGCACAACAAUGAACAGUAUUCUCUGGAAGAAACAGGUCUUUUUCUGCAAUUUCGGUGUAUGAAUGUGUCUGUGUGAGACAACAUAACGGAUGUAAAAUCUAAUCAAUAUAGCGUUUUUACACAGAAAUACAACAUUAAAACCAUAACACUGUUAUUCCACAUAUUUGACAUUCCCAAGCAUGUGUAUCCAACAGAAAUACGUGUACUUCCUUAAACUUGAGAGACCAUUACAGAGUCCUGUCUAAUGGCUAGAGCCCAUUAAAGUGCACCACCAACACUGUCGGCUCAGUCAGACAGAGCGCCUUAACUCCAUAAACCUGUUAGCUCAUUAGAAAUCGUGCUAUGUUUUUGCCACGGGGCAACAAACAACAGCACUUCUUAUGUCUGACCUCAACAUUGUUAUAAAUGAUUCAGAUAUUUGAA